UAGCUGGUGGCGCAAUGGUAGCGCGUAGCUCUCCUAUUAUUUGAGAGUUUUCUAUUCCUCAAGCCUAGAAAAUAGGUGGAUUGAAGCUGAGGCUGUGGGUUCGAGUCCCACCUAGGUUG